CAAUCACAAAAAAACUCCGCAUUUUUCUGGAAGGACUGAUACCCAUGUAGACUGGCUUGGUUUGAAUUUCCAAAAGAAGGGUGGAACACUGAUCAGACAACCCUGGUGAAACCCUGGUCAGUGGUGUGAUAGCGGUAUAAGAUCAUUGCUGACAGUACAGUAUCUCUGUAAUUAUGAAUGUAACCUGUUGUGUAUUGUUGUCCCAUGUUUCCUUUUGUAGAUAGUCGUUGUCGAUGUAUAUAGCAGUGUUGUGAUUUUUAAAUAAUGUGUUUACAAGAUGACGUUAUGAGGUAACGAUAUUAGAAGAUAGUGUUGCAUACUACAGUAUACAUUGCUUGACUGCAUUAGUUUUGAGAUUGGUAGCAUUUUUUUCUCUUUUUUUUUUGUAGGCUUAUUUUUACUGUUUAAAUUGUAUUUGGAUGUGAUCCACUUUUAUGUUCAUUCUUCACAAAAACACUUACAUAUUAAGUAUAGGCUACUUGUUUACAUAUGCACAAGGUAGAAAUGUGUGUUAUGAAGAUAAUUUUGUAUGGAAACAGCAUGUAAUUUAAAAGCCUUUUUACUUGCAUUAAAAUGUAUGCAACUCGAAUGUUAAAUCGUGGGAGUGUAUUUUUUUUGGGGGGUUAUUUUUUCAUGCUGGUGGAUGGUGUGUCUAUCAACUGCAGGGGUUUUCAAAGUAUGUAGAUGACAUCAAAACUGUGCCAGAGACCCAUAAUGCUUUGGGGCACAGUAAGAGGAAGUACAAUUGUUUGCCAUGGAUUCAGUGAGAUGCUGUGAGCUACAGCUUGACCCCAAUCUAUUUUUUCUUUUCUUUUUUCUUUCCUGUUGUUUGUGGCGUUACUGGCAACAUUAACAGUAUGCCGAAUUAGAUACAAACAGUUCCUGUUUGCAUCGAACCCAUGGACGUACGGACAACUCUCACUGGAUUACUGUGAUCCUGAAGAAAACUUAAAAACGUCAAGAUUCUCAGGCAAGUUCUGCAAGUUCUAAGGAGCGUCUGGGAUUCCGACGCGGAUUUAUGGACGUUUAUGCGUGAUGAUGCACAUCGGAGAUUAUGAGGUCCUCGGAAACUGGAUUUGCAUGGAGAGGUGAGGCCACAAGGCGAGGCCACAGCGCUCCCAGGGACGUUCGCAUUAGCCCCGGAUUAAUGGAGGACGAAUUUAACACCUCGCACGUCUCGCACUAAUCGGCGGAGAUCUUCGAAAGUGACCUGGAUCCAGUUAACAACAUCCCGCCAGCCUCUACACUCGCCUCUUGACACUUCGUCGCCUGCACAUCUGUAGUUUUGUGAAUUGAAUUAACCAAAUCAAUCGCAUUACAUUACACAAAUGAGCCAAUCAGAUUGGCCUAUAGCUUUUGAGCACGCGUAAAAGUGUCUCAUGCGAAAAAGGUUGUUCCAUUCUCAAAAAUAAAAGUUCUUGCAGUUCUUUCA